rnacentral:lncRNA from 1 species
UUUUAGGCAAUUCUCUACACACAUAAAUGUACAAAGACCAGAUUAGUUUCAUUUUUUUAUUCCGAACUGCUAAAGAUGUCCUGUUGAUAUUUUUUUGUAAACAAAUUGUAAAUUAAAUAAAAGUUAAUGGAAUGUAUAGUUGAAAGUUGUGAGGUCCAUAAAAUUUAUAGUUAUAAUUAAUUAUUUAUUUUGACUUCAAUUUAAUCUAACUUUUGAGCUAAACCAAACGAGGCUUUAAUUGAAUUUUGAUUUCGUUUUAGGUAUCUCUUUACACACAUACAUGUACACACACCAGAUUAAUUUGUAUAUUUCUUGCACCUAGUCUGAUUCGAAAUUUAUUAGUUCCAUUUUAUUACUGUUGAUAUUAAUGUGCACAAAUUGUGAAAUUGCAGUUAGCAAAAUCGCCUUGGGGGAGGAAAAUAAAUAUUGCACGUGUACAACUGAACUGGGGCCUUGUGAUGGAGCCAACUGUGCAAAGCGAUGUGCUGCCUCUUUUAAUGGCAAAACUCACAGCUCAUGUACUCGUGCAGGAGGCCCGAAAAUUCCAACUUGUCUUUGUGGCUACAUAUGUGUAUGCUAGACAAAAAGCAGAAUUAGGGCAGAAAUGUUGUCGGUAUUAUAAAUAAGCAUUUAUAUGGGGGUUUUUCUCUUAUGUUUGUCAUAUGCCAGUAUAACUUACAUGAUAUUACAUAUUAUUGGAUACGGGUUGUAGUCGAUAUUGACUAUCAAUUAUACUAUCUUGAAAUAGACGACCCAGAUAAACUUUACAGAUCAGUUUCCAGUUAUAAGUUCCAAUGAUUUCAUCAAAUAUCCGACACUGAAUAAUACAUUGCAGACAGAGACGGGUCUAGGACCAAACUACAAACCAGACUAAAAAUAAAAAUAAAAAUAAAAAUAAAAAAAUUUACACAAAAGAUGGGAAAGUGGCAGCAGCGGUACCUAACCUUUCACGUUUUUGAAACGGUCCCUAAC